CCUCCGAUUGUUUACAAUUGUUUUUAGAUCGUGUCACCACACCCGUGGAGAAUAAUAACCUCUUGUCAUGGUUGCCGCAAAUAUUUCUAAUAAGAAACAGCUCAAAAGUCACGAUUCGUGAGGAUUGUGCUUACUGAACGAUAUACGGAAUCUGGAUGUUUUAUUCGCAACAGUAAAAUUGAAAGGAUGACAAGUGGGAAUUAAGUGUUUCAAUGCAAACUUUGUAUGUCUAUUAGAAGACUUCAGAGUAGCCAAAAAGACAGAGCUAAAUGUGCCGUCCCCAACUUUACAAUGUAUGUGGAAUAGCUCAUUUACAAGUGGGAUCGAUUUUUUCAGAUUUGUACAGCUAUCUUUUGCUAGAACAGCAAGCAAGUAUACACGUCAUUUGUACAUUUUUAUUUUAAUAUAAAAACAUUGUUAAAAUAUAUAUCUAUAUGAAGCCUAUGUGAUAGACAUGAUAUAUAGUUUAGUAUUUUUGAAUUGUCUCAAAUAAAAAUGUACAAGUUUAAUUUUUAUUAAAUCUGUAAAUUAUCUUGUAAACAGAAUACUAUUAAUAUUCUAAAUAUAGGAAGAUAUACUUAAAUA